rnacentral:rRNA from 1 species
GACGAACGCUGGCGGCGUGCUUAACACAUGCAAGUCGAACGGAAAGUCCCUGCUUUUGUGGGGUGGUCGCGGGGCGAACGGGAGCGUAAAACGAGAGUAACCUGCCCUGGACUUAGGGAUAACUUCACGAAACUGGGACUAAUACGGGAUCGGAGCUGCUGCUGCAUGGGGGGGGUUGGAACGAUUCGGUGGGGGGGGGUGGAGCCGCGGCUUAUCAGCUUGGUGGGGGGGUAGUUGCUUACCAAGGCGUUGGCGGGUAGCCGGCCUGGGAGGGCGACCGGCCACCUUGGGACUGACGUACGGCCCCAUCUCCUCCGGGAGGCAGCAGUGGGAGAUCUUGCACCAUGGGCCGAAGCCUGAUGCAGCAACGCCGCGUGCCGGAUGGCGGCUUUCGGGUGGUUAACCGCUUUCGCCUGUGGCGAAGCGUGAGUGACGGUACUGGGUAAAUAAGCACCGGCUAACUUCGUG